UACGUAGGGGGCUAGCGUUGUCCGGAAUCAUUGGGCGUAAAGCGCGUGUAGGCGGUCCGGUAAGUCCGCUGUGAAAGUCGGGGGCUCAACCCUCGGAUGCCGGUGGAUACUGUCGGGCUUGAGUACGGAAGAGGCGAGUGGAAUUCCUGGUGUAGCGGUGAAAUGCGCAGAUAUCAGGAGGAACACCAAUUGCGAAGGCAGCUCGCUGGGACGUUACUGACGCUGAGACGCGAAAGCGUGGGGAGCAAACAGGAUUGAGACUACC
rnacentral:rRNA from 1 species